UUUUGAUAAACUUGUGGAUAUUGUGUUGAUAUCAUGAAUUAAUUGCAUCUAAAAUGAAACUGACCAUCUGCACCCCCAUUACGUUCUUGGUUUCCAAACAUUUCUGAAUGGCACCAUUUUCCUUUCAGAUAUCCAGACUCCAAGUCUUCAAGCCACAUUCACCUUUUCCUCUCCGACCUCCAUUUGGAACCCAUUGCUAUAAGACAGAGGCGAUCUCUGGUAUUUCUCCCAUCCAUUUGCUUUUAUUGGAACCUCUUUCAUUAAGGUCUGGCCUGAGUAGUUUUGUUGUGCACAGAGCAUUAUGCCUUUCUGAAAGGCAGCAUCAUUUGAUUGAGGGGUGCACUGUUGCUCUUUUCUCAAGGAAAGGAAAGCUGAAGUGAUUUCUUUUCACCACUAGAAAGUCUCCCUAAGAG
rnacentral:lncRNA from 1 species